rnacentral:lncRNA from 1 species
CCCUCUCUGCUCUCCCCCUCUCCCCCUAUGUCGCUUCCCACCGUCGUCUGCAUCCGCACUGUCAUCUGCAUCUGCGCCGUCCAUGUCCGCUGGAGGUAACGAUUUCAACCAUCUUUCUUUUUUUUUGGUGUUGAUCGGGUCACCGAGGGGGUGGAGAGUGGUCGGCCAGUGACGGCAAAAAUGGAGCCAGCAGCAACUG